rnacentral:rRNA from 1 species
GACGAACGCUGGCGGCGUGCUUAACACAUGCAAGUCAAGGAGAAAGUUUCGGCUUGCCGAGAUGAUUAAACUGGCGAACGGGUGAGUAACGCGUAGGCAACCUGCCCUUGUGAAUGGGAUAACUUCGGGAAACCGGAGCUAAUACCGUAUAACAUCUUUUUAUCGCCUGGUAGAAAGAUCAAAGAUGCUUUUGUAUCGCGCAAGGAUGGGCCUGCGUUCCAUUAGCUAGUUGGUAAGGUAAAGGCUUACCAAGGCUUCGAUCAGUAGCUGGUCUGAGAGGACGGCCAGCCACACUGGGACUGAGACACGGCCCAGACUCCUACGGGAGGCAGCAGUGGGGAAUUUUGGACAAUGGGGGCAACCCUGAUCCAGCCAUGCCGCGUGAGUGAAGAAGGCCUUCGGGUUGUAAAGCUCUUUCAGCCGGAACGAAACGGUUACGGUUAAUACCCGUAACUACUGACGGUACCGGAAGAAGAAGCACCGGCUAACUACGUGCCAGCAGCCGCGGUAAUACGUAGGGUGCGAGCGUUAAUCGGAAUUACUGGGCGUAAAGCGUGCGCAGGUGGUUUUGUAAGUCAGAUGUGAAAUCCCCGGGCUUAACCUGGGAACUGCGUUUGAAACUACAAGGCUAGAGUGUGGCAGAGGGGGGUGGAAUUCCGCGUGUAGCAGUGAAAUGCGUAGAGAUGUGGAGGAACACCGAUGGCGAANNCAGCCCCCUGGGUCAACACUGACGCUCAGGCACGAAAGCAUGGGGAGCAAACAGGAUUAGAUACCCUGGUAGUCCAUGCCCUAAACGAUGUCAACUAGUUGUCGGGUCUUAACGGGCUUGGUAACGUAGCUAACGCGUGAAGUUGACCGCCUGGGGAGUACGAUCGCAAGAUUAAAACUCAAAGGAAUUGACGGGGACCCGCACAAGCGGUGGAUUAUGUGGAUUAAUUCGAUGCAACGCGAAAAACCUUACCUACCCUUGACAUGUAUUGGAGCUCGCAGAGAUGUGGGUGUGCCCGAAAGGGAACGAUAACACAGGUGCUGCAUGGCUGUCGUCAGCUCGUGUCGUGAGAUGUUGGGUUAAGUCCCGCAACGAGCGCAACCCUUGUCAUUAAUUGCCAUCAUUUAGUUGGGCACUUUAAUGAGACUGCCGGUGACAAACCGGAGGAAGGUGGGGAUGACGUCAAGUCCUCAUGGCCCUUAUGGGUAGGGCUUCACACGUAAUACAAUGGCGCGUACAGAGGGUUGCCAACCCGCAAGGGGGAGCUAAUCUCAGAAAGCGCGUCGUAGUCCGGAUCGGAGUCUGCAACUCGACUCCGUGAAGUCGGAAUCGCUAGUAAUCGCGGAUCAGCAUGUCGCGGUGAAUACGUUCCCGGGUCUUGUACACACCGCCCGCCACACCAUGGGAGUGGGUUCCACCAGAAGCAGGUAGUCUAACCGUAAGGAGGACGCUUGCCACGGUGAGAUUCAUGACUGGGGUG